AGUGAACGCUGGCGGUAGGCCUAACACAUGCAAGUCGAACGGCAGCACAGUAAGAGCUUGCUCUUACGGGUGGCGAGUGGCGGACGGGUGAGGAAUACAUCGGAAUCUACUUUUUCGUGGGGGAUAACGUAGGGAAACUUACGCUAAUACCGCAUACGACCUACGGGUGAAAGCAGGGGAUCUUCGGACCUUGCGCGAUUGAAUGAGCCGAUGUCGGAUUAGCUAGUUGGCGGGGUAAAGGCCCACCAAGGCGACGAUCCGUAGCUGGUCUGAGAGGAUGAUCGGCCACCCUGGAACUGAGACACGGUCCAGACUCCUACGGGAGGCAGCAGUGGGGAAUAUUGGACAAUGGGCGCAAGCCUGAUCCAGCCAUACCGCGUGGGUGAAGAAGGCCUUCGGGUUGUAAAGCCCUUUUGUUGGGAAAGAAAAGCAGCAGGUUAAUACCCCGCUGUUCUGACGGUACCCAAAGAAUAAGCACCGGCUAACUCCGUG
rnacentral:rRNA from 1 species